rnacentral:rRNA from 1 species
UACGUAGGGUGCAAGCGUUGUCCGGAAUUAUUGGGCGUAAAGAGCUCGUAGGCGGUCUGUCGCGUCGGAUGUGAAAAUCCAGGGCUCAACCCUGGACCUGCAUUCGAUACGGGCAGACUAGAGUUCGGUAGGGGAGACUGGAAUUCCUGGUGUAGCGGUGAAAUGCGCAGAUAUCAGGAGGAACACCGGUGGCGAAGGCGGAUCUCUGGGCCUUACCUGACGCUGAGGCGCGAAAGCUAGGGGAGCAAACAGG